UACAAGACAGAAGCGCUCAAGUACUGCCCGAGCUGCUACACCUAUGUCCCGAAGUAUUACUGUGCGUAAAAGGAGUUUUCUAAAAAGAAAAAGAAAUCGUGCCCGAACUGCAGUGCCUUAUCUGUUACCAACUGCAUUCCUCAUAGUGUAACCGAUUCGCAAUUAUGGAUAACUAUGGCGUCGUGCUCCUGUUGGGUUUUGUAUUGUUGAUGCUUCGAUGGUCGACCACUGGUGUACCAUCUCCUUGGUAUGGUGCAAACCAAACCGCAACGCCGGCGCCUUCCUACACAACUUACGCAACGACCAGUUCCUGCACUGAGGUUUUCCAGUACUACACCACUAGAGCACCGGAGUUUUAUACCACAACUUACGCUGCCUCGAGCCACAACACUGACGCCCUGAAGUAUUACUCUGCCUCAAGUUACUACACCAUCUAGGCGACGGAGUACUACAUGACUACGCAUUCUGCCUGGAGUUACUAUACUACCAAGGCGAUGGAGCACUACAUGAUUACGUAUGCUGCCCAUCCUACUACACCGAGGUUCUAAUUGCUACACCGAGGCUCCCGCUUAUUACUCCACCAAAACAGCCGAGUACUACACCGAAGUGGCAAAGUACUUCUCUACCCAUCUACACAACGCAGUCCCGACCUGGUACGCAGAAGCUGCUGUUUCGUGCUAGGUUGAAGUGAAACACUACACAGAUGCUCCAGUCUACUACACCACGACCUACGCUACACCUAGCUAUAACACCGCAGCCCUCAGUACACCGAAGAAGCCGCCUAUUACACAACCACGUACGCUGCCUGGUAUACUACAUCGAGGAAUUUAACUAUUACUCUGCUCCAAACUACUAUCAUCUGAGGUUCAUAUGUAUUACACCAUCAAUGCUCCCGACUAUGUCACCUACUUAUGUUGCUUACACCUAUACAUGGAAGUUUUGAAGUAUUUCUCUGGAUGUGUUGAAAGAUUGCUGAAAUACAAGUUUGAUUGAUAAA